rnacentral:pre_miRNA from 1 species
GACUGACUCAGAUGCCUUUGAUUCGAGUAAAAGGUGCAUCAUUUCGGGGAGUCUUUUACUUGAAUCAAAGGCAGCUGUGCCAGUC